AGGGGGGACGUACCAGACCAAGAAGUAGGACAUCACCGCCAGAGGAGUGGAGAAUACGAUCCUGAGGGAGAUGAAUGAGACAACUGGAUGAAUGAGCCAGAAGUUAAUGACAAGUUAAUGCAAUGACAAGAACAUUUCCCGCUUGUCCCCGCUGGCUGUCCCGAGAGCACUUCCCCUAACAAAGGCCAGAAAUGUCUUCAUGCGUAAAACGUGAGCGCCAUGGAAACACUGAAGCAACCCCCACUGCCGACUUCCUCAGAGGCCACACUCCCUCAUAAUGGAAACAGACUGGAUGGCGGCAAGUAGAGACAUGACACAACUGCUUACGUCACUAGCCGGCACAGAGGUCUCUCUACACUGUGCUAAUCUACUCUGGAUCUGUGACCAAAACAUCAUCCGGUGUUGCAUGACCCUUGAUGAAAGCACAUGACUAAAUUACUGGCAGACAGAUGAGACAGCAGGUUGCUUAGUAGUGGGAUGAUCAGGUACUGGUACAUUUUUCUUGUACUGUGGUAAUAUUUUGUCCAGCCGUUACAGUUUUCUUCCACAUCUCAAAGGCGUGAGUUCAGUGCAUCACGUAAAAAAAUUUGAGUACGUGUCGGGAAAUGCGUAAGAGUCCUACUCUGGGCUUACCUCCACCCCAGGGUACAACCGCAGUUACACACAUCCCUUACAAAAGUACACUGGUAAGCCGUUACCAAGUACAGGAGGACAUCUAGCUUUAGAUCACACACUGGUAUGGUACGUUUCUAGUGCUCCACGGCCAGAAAGAAAAAAAAAAAACACAACCCUGGAGUGUAAAGUCAUCCACCGCAACGUGACAAAGCUAUUCCACACAUGGGGAAGAUCUUCCCACAUCUAUCCUCUAACAGGCUGCGUGUAAACACUGCUCAGAAUCAAAGCGCAGCACUGAGUAAUUAGAGUAACUGUAUCCCAUUCGUUUUAUUUAAUCAACCCCACCUUACGAUCAGUUUACCGUGACACUGCAUCAUUCAUACAUUACUCAAUUGCCUACUUCCACUACUGGGAGAGACGGCGUGGCAUAACGGAUUUCUGUAACAAAAACCGUACUCUCAAAGUGCAAUUAUCAAGGAGCUAAAAGGUACAUCUGGUGUAAUUAAAGCCUCACAGAUUGUGAAACUGUUACACACAGCCAGCCGGUGGAUAUGCCACUGACAGCUGUCCGGACCAGUUUUCGACCGGCAGGGUGACGUGUGUUUAACGAACCGGCAGUUGAGGUUUAUCGCAAUAACCAUAACUAACCGGCUCUUAUUCUAUAAGCUGCAUUUAAAGUUCCAACGAAACCCAAGCACGUUUGCUGCGGUUUAUUUCUGUCCAGAUUUGUCCAGCAUUUGCUUACUCUACCCCUGAGCAGUCGUGUUUGUUUAAAACCAUUUUACAACUUGCAGUCAAUUGUACUUAACACGACGAAAGUGACAGAACACUGCUAUCCAUGGGAGAUCUGGGACUUCCUGUCUGUGCCCAGAUUAGAGACAAAAAAUAAAGUUCUUGCUUAGAAAAUA